AUGCAAGUCGAGGGGCAGCAUAAUGGAUAGCAAUAUCUAUGGUGGCGACCGGCGCACGGGUGCGUAACGCGUAUGCAACCUACCUUUAACAGGGGGAUAACACUGAGAAAUUGGUACUAAUACCCCAUAAUAUCAUAGAAGGCAUCUUUUAUGGUUGAAAAUUCCGAUGGUUAGAGAUGGGCAUGCGUUGUAUUAGCUAGUUGGUGGGGUAACGGCUCACCAAGGCGACGAUACAUAGGGGGACUGAGAGGUUAACCCCCCACACUGGUACUGAGACACGGACCAGACUCCUACGGGAGGCAGCAGUGAGGAAUAUUGGUCAAUGGACGCAAGUCUGAACCAGCCAUGCCGCGUGCAGGAUGACGGCUCUAUGAGUUGUAAACUGCUUUUGUACGAGGGUAAACGCAGAUACGUGUAUCUGUCUGAAAGUAUCGUACGAAUAAGGAUCGGCUAACUCCGUGCCAGCAGCCGCGGUAAUACGGAGGAUUCAAGCGUUAUCCGGAUUUAUUGGGUUUAAAGGGUGCGUAGGCGGUUUGAUAAGUUAGAGGUGAAAUUUCGGGGCUCAACCCUGAACGUGCCUCUAAUACUGUUGAGCUAGAGAGUAGUUGCGGUAGGCGGAAUGUAUGGUGUAGCGGUGAAAUGCUUAGAGAUCAUACAGAACACCGAUUGCGAAGGCAGCUUACCAAACUAUAUCUGACGUUGAGGCACGAAAGCGUGGGGAGCAAACAGGAUUAGAUACCCUGGUAGUCCACGCAGUAAACGAUGAUAACUCGUUGUCGGCGAUACACAGUCGGUGACUAAGCGAAAGCGAUAAGUUAUCCACCUGGGGAGUACGUUCGCAAGAAUGAAACUCAAAGGAAUUGACGGGGGCCCGCACAAGCGGAGGAACAUGUGGUUUAAUUCGAUGAUACGCGGGGAACCUUACCC
rnacentral:rRNA from 1 species